CAGCCGCCGCGGGAAUACGUAGGUGGCAAGCGUUGUCCGGAAUUAUUGGGCGUAAAGGGCACGCAGGCGGUUUCUUAAGUCUGAUGUGAAAGCCCCCGGCUCAACCGGGGAGGGUCAUUGGAAACUGGGAAACUUGAGUGCAGAAGAGGAGAGUGGAAUUCCACGUGUAGCGGUGAAAUGCGUAGAGAUGUGGAGGAACACCAGUGGCGAAGGCGACUCUCUGGUCUGUAACUGACGCUGAGGAGCGAAAGCGUGGGGAGCGAACAGGAUUAGAUACCCCAGUAGUCCCUGUCUCUUAUAC
rnacentral:rRNA from 1 species